rnacentral:rRNA from 1 species
UCAAAAACAUUGCUUUAUGAGUUAGUAAUAUAAGGUUUGUCCUGCCCGGUGACUUAGGAGUUUAACGGCCGCGGUAUCCUGACUGUGCUAAGGUAGCGUGAUAAUUUGUCCUUUAAUUGUGGGCUUGUACGAAUGGGUUAAUGAGAAUUAAGCUGUCUCUAAGUUAUUUUUAGAAAUUAAUAUUAAGGUGAAAAAGCUUUAAUAUUUAUGUAAGACAAAAAGACCCCAUAGAGCUUAAUUUACUAAAAUUAAGUAAUAGAAUAGCGUAAUAUCUGUUAUUUAAUUUUUGGUGGGAUUAACUGGGGCGGUUAAUGAAGAAUAUAAUCUUCUUUUAAGACAAAUAUUUAUAGAUUGAAUUAAAAUAAUUGAUCCUUUAAAAGAUUGUAAGAAAUAGCUACCUUGGGGGUAACAGACUAAUUUUUUUUGAGAGUUCUUAUUGACAAAAAAGUUUGGCACAUCGAUGUUGGCUUAGGAUAUCCUGAAGAUAGUAGCAGUCUUUAAUGGUAGGUUUGUUCAACCUUUAAAAUCCUACGUGAUCUGAGUUCCAGACCGGA